UGGGAGCGCGGUGCCGAGCUGCCUGAUGUCGUGUGCGUUUUGCGAGCAGGGCUGAGGCGUCGCGGAGGCGGGAGAACUCAGGGAGCAGCGUGUGGCCGUGCCGGCCGCGGGGCCGCUGGGCCGUGCCUUCGGUUUGGGUAGCAGCGCUGGCGGUGCGUGGCUGCGGAGGGCGAUGUGUGUCCGGCAGGAGGAGCUUUGCUCGCUGCUCAACGCGCUGUCCUGUAUUUAUCUACAGAGCCACGCACAGGGGGAGGGUAUGGUGGGGUAACCUUCAAGGCCAGGUUGGAUGGGGCCCUGGGCAGCCUGGUCUAGUACCAGAUGUGGAGGUUGGUCGCCCUGCCUGUGGCAGGGGGUUGGAACUUGAUGAUCCUGGGGGUCCAUUCCAACCCAAGCCAUUCUGUUGGGUUCAUUCCUCUCAGCUAGGCUGGAGUUGGCUGAGCUGACUUGUUUCCCUGCCUUCUAAGCAGUGCUUGCUGCGUCACACUGGCUAAUCUUUAUCAACGCUUCCACUUUGUGUGCUGUCUCAGCUGCAGCAACGCCCUCUUCCUGGCUGCUGCUUUGGGGAAAUGGCGUGUAGAGUUCCGUGCACUGAGCAUCAUUGCUGUUUCUGUAGUGCUUUGUGUCAUGGACGGGGGAAAUGAUCCAUUUCUCAAAGAGAAGGUGAAUUUCUGUUAAGGGAAAGGGUGGUUAUUGCUGAAAUAAUCCUUACUCCAAAGUGGGAGGAAACACAAUGUGUUGUAUGGUGUGUUAAAUAACUUUGUUUCUCCUUACAGCUGAUUCCUGUGAAAUAAAGUCUUUUAUUCUUUCAAGAAGAUACUCCACUGAGAGGAGUUGGAGAGUUCUGUAGGCUCCCUGGAAGCGUGGGCCAAAGUCCAGUAGUGGUAUAGGUCAGGAAAAAGGAUUUACAAGUUUUUCUUUUCUAAAGUAUUUUGGCUCCUCCUGGAGGUAAGUGCAGUGAAUUUCUCAGGAUAACACCUCACAGUAACUACACAGGCAUGGUGGUCUGUUUUCGCCAUGGUGCAAUCAGAUGGUGAAGGACUGUCACGAGAUGUUAAGUAAUUCACAUCACAAAACCUAAACCUUGGCAUCUUGAAAUAUUUGUUGGUAUUGUAGCAAUAUUUGCCAUUCUUCUAUCUCUUUAAAUCCACAUCGCUCUUGUCAAAGGAUCUGAGCCAGCUUUUUGCCUUCUGCAUCUUCCCACAAAAGGCCUGGUGUCUUAGGGCAGCACAUGCAACUCAUGUAGCUUCUGCACACCCCACCUUAUCCAGUGCUUCAUUCAUCACAGAAGAAAAAAAUAUAAUGCUCUGUUGCUGCUAUAACCUCCGGUUUAGUUUGUACAUCUGAAGAGUUUUGAUUGAAAAGCACUGCUCUCUUUGUUUUAUUUCUCCAUGUGAAUGCUUUCACUUUGUUGAAGGGGAAAAAGAAAAACAGUAUUAUAUGUCAGAACAGUUGCUGUCCUUAAACUUUAAGGCUAAGCUUAUGCUUAUGUUUGUGCAGCUGAUACCGAGUAAUGAUGGUAAGUAGUAUGAUAGGGUGUGUGUUUUCUACAAAGGGCAGAAAACAUGGAUAUAAAAUUGUCCAGGAUAAAUCUGCUGACAUAGCAACUACAUACUUUGCUUUUGUGUGUUCGGUAUCACUGAUACCACUUGCAGUGAUUCCUUCUCUUCCUUCCCCCACCUUGUUUCCAUGCUGCUGCUCUGGGUAGGAGGCAAGGAUCCUGCUUUGCAGAUGAAAUUACUUCCCUGUUUUACUGUGUUUCUUUAUCCGAUAAUGUAGAUGCUGCUGAUGUCUCAGUGAAGAGAGAACUGAGGUGAAAAAGUAAUGAAAGGAAUGCUUGAUGUGCCAGACAAGUAAAAUAGUUUCCUACGUUGUAUAGUUCACUUUCAGGAGUUUGGGGGUACCCGCUAUUUGUCAGGCUAGAUUUUACACAGCUUAGAAGCUUGGAAUGUUAAAUCCUGUGUUAUCUCAAACGUAGGUCAUCAUUUUACACUGUUCAUCUGGAAAUGCUCGCACCCACUUACCUUCUGACCCAGCAGGUCUUAACUGUGAGAUCCACAAGAAGCUUAUAGCCAUAUUGCAGAAAUAAGCACUGUCUCAGUGUCCCAUGUGAAAAGACUUAAAGUGACUAAAGAACUGAAGGCCUGCCUUUACUGUGUUUUGAGUACGUGGAUAUACUCUGAUUUAAUGCAUUUUAUGAAAGCUGCUUCAGGUGUUUGUAUGGUCCCGAGCCUGCUAAGCUGUCACAUAUGUCUGCCCUUUGCUGUGCCAGCAUCCUACACUGCAGAAACCACAAGUUUUGUUGCAAAAACGAAUUUGGUCUCAGUGCAAUCAGGUAAGCAACCACUCUGUGCCCUGAGAGUAAGGAGAAGCAGCUGGAAGUCGUGGAAGACGGUGCAGAGAACAAGGAUAAGUAGCAAUGUGUGAUGCGUUUGCCUUCUGCAAAGAAGCAGUUAGUACAUUUUUGUAUGCUUUUCUUGCUUUCAUCGUGGUAAAUUCUUGCUCCUAAUUAAAACCAGAAAGAUUUUGUUGUAAAUUCAGCCUUCACUGGAUAACGUACUGGAAACAUGCCUGCAAUCUGCACGAGAAAUGCGUGCAUGUACAAGAUUGGUGUGUACAACAUACGCAAGAGUGUAAAAGCAUUCCAGGUCCCUUUGGAUGAAGGGGGAGAGCUGUAGAGUCACAGAGGCACUGCUGCUUGUAGAGCCUGUGAAAAAAAGCAGAAAUGCUUUGUGCAGUGGUAACAGCUUCAAGGUAAGGGUGUGGAUUCAGCUGGGUGUAGUAGGUAAGUAGGUCCGUGUGGUGUGAAAACACAGGUAAGAAUGGGAGGGUUGCAUAUCUAAGUGUUUGUAAAUGAAAUGGAGGGGGGAGGGGGGGAAGCAAUCGUUAAAUCUCUGGAAGACCUCAGGAUUCCUGUGAUAACUUUAUUAUAUUCUGUUUUUCAGCACAAGAAGAGCCUCUUCAGGUGUUGUGGACGUGUAACUGCUACCGAACUGCAGAACAUAAUAUGAGAUGGGGGGUGGACAGGCUACUCCAAGUCAUGGCCUCACAGAAACAGUUUCAGUAGAGAGGAAACCUCACAUUCUCUUGGAACUUCCAUGAAUUUAAGUGAGGACCCAUUGGCAGUGGUGAAACAGGAAGUUACUUCUAUUUUUGACACUGGUCAUGGGGAUGAGGGUAGUGAACUUCAUACUUGUUAAUCAGCACACAGUGAUGGGCCUUGGCAGAAGUGCAGGCUGAGCCCAGGAGAUUACAGUCGUGGGGAAACUCAGUUUCCCAACCAACAGUGGCUGAAACUUCCUGAGUAGAGGGAAUGGAUGAGCAUCUGCUGCUCAGCUGAAUAGGGAUAGUUCUCUUGAGGCCACAGAUAGAGUCACACAGUCCAGAACUACCCUCAGAGCUUUAGUCUUGGCCCACCCAGCUCCUGCAGAGCUAUGGGGACUGGAGCACCGUGCUGAAGAUAACCCUCAGCACACCUUGCUGGGGUCCGGGCCUGGAUGGAAGCCCUCUGGUUGGCUGUGUCCCAGCUUUCACAUACCCAACAAGAACCUCAGCACUUCUGAGUAGAGCAAGUUAACACUUGGGAUGCACCGAUAUAGCUGUAGUUUGUGCGUGCUGUACUCAUUAGCAUGACUUGAUGAGAGCUUGUGUUGUACAAAGCAAGUUGGGUUUUGAGGUUUGCUCACUGCACACCCCACUCUAUUGCCAGUAGACAUGGGGAGAAGCUCUAACCCUGGGUUUGUACCACAUCUCACUGGGGAGCCUGUGUGUGCCUGUGCCACAAACAGUCCGUGAGCUGACAAAUCCUUAAGCAUGGUGGCAGUUCUCAUGCUUGUGAAAAACGAGGGGUAAGGGGGAUAGGUAGGGGUUCUUCCUUUCAUGAAUGACAAACUACUGAAAUCCAAAGCUCACUGAAAAUAACCUUCUAAAAAUGAAAUUGGAAGGUGUGAUUAAGGCGGUAUGAUCCUUCAGUUACAGCAAACUUCCAAUGCUGUUCUUUGUCUCUUGUGUGGUUCACAGAAAAAGUGGAUGUGUAACAUAGGUAAGACUUGCUGGAAUUUGCGUGGAAUCAUGCAUUGCUGCAAGGAAAUCCUGCAAGGAAACUGCUAAUGCUGGAGUCCCUGGUUAUGUGUAACAGUAUACUCACUUUCUCUGGCUAUUCAGAUGCAGUGGCAUGAAGUUACGCAUUGGUUUUGGUGCCAUUCAUCUGAAAAUCCAAACGUUUGCAGUGUGAGUGCGUUAACAGCAAUGCAGUCAAAGCAUUCCUUAACGCACACAAGCCAUUCCCUUUUGGGUGAGUAACAGUGCAAUGUGAAGAAGCACCCAGCUGCCAGGAGGUGUCACUUGGUAGCAACUCCUGUGCUGGAAUCCCCUGAGUUUGCUGCUCCUCCCUUUGACGGAGGUUUCAUAUCAUAAAUCAUAGAAUGGCCUGGGUUGGAAGGGACCUCAAGGAUCGCAAAGCACCGAACCCCCACAUGGCAUGCAGGGCUACCGACCUUCACAUUUAGUACCAGGCCAGGCUGCCCAGGGCCCCAUCCAACCUGGCCUUGAACACCUCCAGGGACGGGGCAUCCACAGCCUCUCUGGGCAGUCUGUUCCAGCACCUCACCACUCAUAGUAAACAACUUCCCCAGUAUCCAACCUAAAUCUUCCCUCCUUCAACUUAAAACUAUUUCCCCUUGUCCUGCUGUUAUCUACCUUUUCAAAGAGUUCACUCCCCUCCUGUUUAUAGGCUCCCUUUAGGUACUGGAAGGCUGCAAUGAGGUCACUCUGCAGCCUUCUCUUCUCCAGGCUGAACAAGCCCAGCUCCCUCAGCCUGUCUUCAUAGGGAAGGUGCCCCAGCCUUCUCAUCAUCUUUGUGGCCCUCCUCUGGACCCGUUCCCACAGCUCCCUGUUGGGUUUUCCCAAAUUACUGCAGUAUGUCAUCAUUCAUUGGCUCUUUCCCACCUCAUCACGUACCCAACUAUUUUGUGUUUGGUUUUGCAAUUUCUCUGCAAAUACCUCUUCCUGGAAAACAGAAUAACAGUAAGUAGCUCAAGCUGCUGGCCAAGCUUCCAUUCCUGUGGUUUCACUUGCUCUGUUCUGUCAAGUUAUUUACAUGCAGCGUCCUAAGGAUAUAAUUGAGUGGAGUGCUAGUAAGCACUAACCUUUGUGUCUGCCCUCAGUCCACGUAGGUCAGGCUUACCCAAGCUGUUUCCUACAGUGAAUUCACUGCCUACUCCUGCAGCCCUUGGUUGCACUAUUUCAUGAAAGCAGCAUGAUCUGCUCUUGCAGGAACUACAAAAAGGGCAGAUUAGCAUCAGUCUCUUUACCUGCUGUGUUGCACAACCCAGAUCUGUUCUGAACCUUGCUCUUGCAUACACGAGCCCUAGGGUGCGCAAGUGAAAGGCAUUAUCACAUCUUAACAGCUCUGGUGUGCUUCAGUAUAGGAGAAAGAUUUCAAAGGUAGGCCAGGUGUUUGAGAUUGACUAUUUACAUUACUUUGCUCAAAACAGAGCUGCCAGCUUAUUCCCUGUUCUGAAUUCAUCUGUACCAGAGCUGUCUUGUACUCAGAGCCUUUUGGGGCAUGCAUUCCCCAGGCUUUGAAUUCCGAGAAUGCAGCUGUGUGAUUCAGACUGGAUGGCACGGCUCAUUUAAGGAGCUCGGUGUUAUCUUUUGUCCUUUGCUCUCCUGUGCCACACCGCACUGUGCCUGGCAUGCCAACAGGUCUGUCUGUAGCAGCAGGGUGAUUAGCAGGCUGUUACAUGUCCAGCCCCAUGCCUGCUUUUCUUUAGCCGAAGUUGGAAGUGUAGGAAGUUUGUGCAACUUCUCUAAAAGCCUGGAGGGGAUCAAUGAGGUACUUGAGAGCGUUUGCAACAUGGCAGCAAAAGCUGGUGAUCAGGCACGCAGCAAAACUCAGUCCUUGGGUUGCUGCAGCCUUCAUCUCAUUAAACCAUGCACCUAAUGAUGGGGUUUGGUUUGUAGGGGAGGAGCAGCAACACGUCCCUUGUGUAUGUGAUGGUUAAUGGUGUUUUUUCCUGCUUUAGGUCUUUGAUGCGUGACUGCUGGGUGUUUCGCUGUGUGCUGCCUCCUGAGCAGGCUUGAGGAACCCUGAUGUCUGUGAGCAGCAUUGGUGAUGCUAGGUGUAGUCAAGCAAAUGAUGAGAGAGCUAGACUAAGAUGUGGUGUAGGUUUCCCAUAGUUUUGUCUUUUAUAACUGUUACAGAGGGUACACAUUUAUUGUAUGACACAAUUUCUUACAAUUAAGGAUUUACAUGUUACACCUGCACACCUAGCCAAAUACACCCUUUCUAUUUAAUGGCAAGGUAGAUUUGCACGGAGAGAAAUGGGUAGUCAGCCAUUUCAUGUAUAGGAUGGGUGUUUUCCAUGUCAGUGUUUUUGCACUGCCCCCUGAUAAGAGUACACAGUGGAAUUCCUUACCAUGCAAAUGUGUUCUACUGUCUCCACUCUGGUGACGGUGAAUCGUGUCCUCUGUGAGCCUUUGCUUUCACUGUAGCCAUUUCUGCUGAAAUAAUCCCCAGAGGGAUUAUUGCUGUUAUUAGGCUUUCUGGAUAAAUGAGAGGCAGAUGCGGUCCUUGUGUGAAUUGGCAGGAGGGUGUUGCACAGCCAGGUGGGUGCUGCAUCUCACCUGGGAUGUAGAACAGUGUGUUGUUAAUGAGUUUCUCCCAGUGAAGUCCAUUAACCCUCCUGCAGACCCCUGCCAGCUGAAAGCUCCAUUCAAAUCCUGGGUAGUGGGGUGACCACUGGCCCAAUCCUCCCCGCUAUAUGUAUUUAUAAUAUAUUGCCUGUAUUUCUUGAUACAAUUUUUAUAUAAAUCAAUAAGUCAAGGGAGUCAAGGAAAAAUAGGGAAGUAUGAUGUGCUGCUGAGAGAAUCCUGGAAUAGAGUGGCAGUUCCCUGUUGAGAACAGCUCAGAGGUGUCCUGGACAAUACAGUUUGUGUGCAUGUUUCUGCUUUGUUCAAGUUUUUAAUCCCAUCCGUCUUUCCGACUCUCAUCCCUGAGAAGGUCCUUUGGCUGUGGAUUAACCUUGUCAGGAGAACCAAGGCAUGUGACAUGCUUGGCGACAGGGGCAG
ensembl:lncRNA